AGUAAAUUGCUAGAGUGAAUGGUCGAGUGUGGUCAGGUGGUGUAGCGAAGUGAUACUCGACCAGGGGGUUGAGUAAUGUGGUAUAGUGAAUGGCCGAGUGUUGUCAAGUGGUGUGGCGAAGUGAUACUCGAA
rnacentral:sRNA from 1 species